AGAGAGAGAGAGAGAGAGAGAGAGGGUAGAAUGGCCAGACGAGGGUACGGGAAGAACUGCUAAAAUUAAUGUAAUUUAAAAAAUUUGAAUUGAAAUGAUUUUGCUCGAGUCGGGUCAAAUUGGGUAUACACCAAAGCUUUGACCCAACUUGGACAAUGAGGGUUGUUGUUGUCUUUUCCAUCAGCAAGGAUAUAGUAUAAACAAAUGUACAAUUCUGUUUUGGUUGAAAUAGUUCAAGCUUGGUUGAGUCGUGAUUUUUGAUAAAUUUUUUUGAAUAAUUACCUUUUUAUAUUAGUGGU
rnacentral:lncRNA from 1 species